rnacentral:rRNA from 1 species
CCUACGGGCGGCAGCAGUGGGGAAUAUUGGACAAUGGGGGGAACCCUGAUCCAGCGACGCCGCGUGAGUGAAGAAGUAUUUCGGUAUGUAAAGCUCUAUCAGCAGGGAAGAAAGAAAUGACGGUACCUGACUAAGAAGCCCCGGCUAACUACGUGCCAGCAGCCGCGGUAAUACGUAGGGGGCAAGCGUUAUCCGGAUUUACUGGGUGUAAAGGGAGCGUAGACGGCAGGGCAAGUCUGAUGUGAAAGUCCGGGGCUCAACCCCGGGACUGCAUUGGAAACUGUCCGGCUAGAGUGCAGGAGAGGUAAGUGGAAUGCCUAGUGUAGCGGUGAAAUGCGUAGAUAUUAGGAGGAACACCAGUGGCGAAGGCGGCUUACUGGACUGUAACUGACGUUGAGGCUCGAAGGCGUGGGGAGCAAACAGGAUUAGAUACCCUAGUAGUC